GUGGGGAAUCUUCCGCAAUGGACGAAAGUCUGACGGAGCAACGCCGCGUGAGUGAAGAAGGUUUUCGGAUCGUAAAGCUCUUUCGUUAGGGACGAACGUGCUCUUUGUGAAUAAUGAGGAGUAAUGACGGUACCUAAAUAAGAAGCCACGGCUAACUACGUGCCAGCAGCCGCGGUAAUACGUAGGUGGCAAGCGUUGUCCGGAAUUAUUGGGCGUAAAGCGCGCGCAGGCGGGAUAUCAAGUCUGUCUUAAAAGUGCGAGGCUCAACCUCGUGAGGGGACAGAAACUGGUAUUCUUGAGUGUCGGAGAGGAAAGUGGAAUUCCAAGUGUAGCGGUGAAAUGCGUAGAGAUUUGGAAGAACACCAGUGGCGAAGGCGACUUUCUGGACGAUGUCUGACGCUGAGGCGUGAAAGCUAGGGGAGCGAACGGGAUUAGAAACCCCGGUAGUCC
rnacentral:rRNA from 1 species